rnacentral:rRNA from 1 species
UACGUAGGGGGGCAAGCGUUGUCCGGAUUUAUUGGGCGUAAAGAGCUCGUAGGUGGUUUGGUAAGUCGGAUGUGAAAUCUCCAGGCUCAACCUGGAGGGGUCAUUCGAUACUGCCAUGACUAGAGUCCGGUAGGGGAGCGUGGAAUUCCUGGUGUAGCGGUGAAAUGCGCAGAUAUCAGGAGGAACACCAGCGGCGAAGGCGGCGCUCUGGGCCGGUACUGACGCUGAGGAGCGAAAGCGUGGGGAGCAAACAGG